CCUACGGGAGGCAGCAGUAGGGAAUCUUUCACAAUGGGCGAAAGCCUGAUGGAGCAACGCCGCGUGCAGGAUGAAGGCCUUCGGGUUGUAAACUGCUUUUAUAAGCGAGAAAUAUGAUGGUAACUUAUGAAAAAGCAUCGGCUAUCUCCGUGCCAGCAGCCGCGGUAAUACGGGGGAUGCGAGCGUUCGCCGGAUUUAUUGGGGUAAAAGGGUGCGGAGGCGGGCGGUUAUGUCACCGGUCAAAUGUCGGGGCUCAACCACGGCCUGCCGUUGAUACUGGCGGCCUCGAGUGGGCGAGAAGUAUGCGGAAUGCGUGGUGUAGCGGUGAAAUGCAUAGAGAUCACGCAGAACUCCGAUUGCGAAGGCAGCAUACCGGCGGCCUACUGACGCUGAGGCACGAAAGCGUGGGUAUCGAACAGGAUUAGAUACCCCAGUAGUC
rnacentral:rRNA from 1 species